rnacentral:rRNA from 1 species
AGAGUUUGAUCAUGGCUCAGAUUGAACGCUGGCGGCAGGCUUAACACAUGCAAGUCGAGCGGAGCGAGGGUGCUUGCACCUUAGCUUAGCGGCGGACGGGUGAGUAAUGCUUAGGAAUCUGCCUAUUAGUGGGGGACAACAUUCCGAAAGGGAUGCUAAUACCGCAUACGCCCUACGGGGGAAAGCAGGGGAUCUUCGGACCUUGCGCUAAUAGAUGAGCCUAAGUCGGAUUAGCUAGUUGGUGGGGUAAAGGCCUACCAAGGCGACGAUCUGUAGCGGGUCUGAGAGGAUGAUCCGCCACACUGGGACUGAGACACGGCCCAGACUCCUACGGGAGGCAGCAGUGGGGAAUAUUGGACAAUGGGGGGAACCCUGAUCCAGCCAUGCCGCGUGUGUGAAGAAGGCCUUUUGGUUGUAAAGCACUUUAAGCGAGGAGGAGGCGCUCUAGGAUAAUACCCUAGAUGCGUGGACGUUACUCGCAGAAUAAGCACCGGCUAACUCUGUGCCAGCAGCCGCGGUAAUACAGAGGGUGCGAGCGUUAAUCGGAUUUACUGGGCGUAAAGCGCGCGUAGGUGGCUAAUUAAGUCAAAUGUGAAAUCCCCGAGCUUAACUUGGGAAUUGCAUUCGAUACUGGUUAGCUAGAGUAUGGGAGAGGAUGGUAGAAUUCCAGGUGUAGCGGUGAAAUGCGUAGAGAUCUGGAGGAAUACCGAUGGCGAAGGCAGCCAUCUGGCCUAAUACUGACACUGAGGUGCGAAAGCAUGGGGAGCAAACAGGAUUAGAUACCCUGGUAGUCCAUGCCGUAAACGAUGUCUACUAGCCGUUGGGGCCUUUGAGGCUUUAGUGGCGCAGCUAACGCGAUAAGUAGACCGCCUGGGGAGUACGGUCGCAAGACUAAAACUCAAAUGAAUUGACGGGGGCCCGCACAAGCGGUGGAGCAUGUGGUUUAAUUCGAUGCAACGCGAAGAACCUUACCUGGCCUUGACAUACAGAGAACUUUCCAGAGAUGGAUUGGUGCCUUCGGGAACUCUGAUACAGGUGCUGCAUGGCUGUCGUCAGCUCGUGUCGUGAGAUGUUGGGUUAAGUCCCGCAACGAGCGCAACCCUUUUCCUUACUUGCCAGCAUUUCGGAUGGGAACUUUAAGGAUACUGCCAGUGACAAACUGGAGGAAGGCGGGGACGACGUCAAGUCAUCAUGGCCCUUACGGCCAGGGCUACACACGUGCUACAAUGGUCGGUACAAAGGGUUGCUACACAGCGAUGUGAUGCUAAUCUCAAAAAGCCGAUCGUAGUCCGGAUUGGAGUCUGCAACUCGACUCCAUGAAGUCGGAAUCG